rnacentral:snRNA from 1 species
GCGGGAAAAAAGUUUGGCG